UGGGGCCUACGGGAGGCAGCAGUGAGGAAUAUUGGUCAAUGGCCGGGAGGCUGAACCAGCCAAGUCGCGUGAGGGAAGACGGCCCUACGGGUUGUAAACCUCUUUUGUCAGGGAGCAAGGUGCAGGUCGGGACCUGCUGUGAGAGUACCUGAAGAAAAAGCAUCGGCUAACUCCGUGCCAGCAGCCGCGGUAAUACGGAGGAUGCGAGCGUUAUCCGGAUUUAUUGGGUUUAAAGGGUGCGUAGGCGGAAUGCCAAGUCAGCGGUAAAAUCGCGGGGCUCAACCUCGCUCCGCCGUUGCAACUGG
rnacentral:rRNA from 1 species